AGUUACUGGUAGAAAGGCCCCAAGGCCGGGCUUCGGUGGCUGCAGUAGACUGGAUCUGGAUCUCUAAAUGGCAAUCUAUUGACAUGGCUGCCAGCGGUAACUCGUUAACUCAUUUGCUAGUCUAAGAGAAUUUAUAUAUGAUGGGAACUGAAAUUUGCCUUAGUUUGGUUCAGGAAUCUGUAAAUUUGAACAAUCAAAUUGAAUAGCAAAAAGUUCACAGUCCAUUAGGAGUUUCUAACGUGUAGCAUAAUUCAUGAGGAUUUUAAUUGUGUUGUAGUGGUGAAUUCGAAAAACUGGUUUUUCUACUGUUGAUCUACAGCUCAACACUAGCAGUAGAAUUAUACAUUUAAAGAUUAUUCACAGAACACGGAGUAUGUCAGAUAGGGGUCAAAUAAUUACAGCUCAAGGAAAUAAGCCAUUAAUGGCAUU
rnacentral:lncRNA from 1 species